UUGAGAAUGAGAUUUAAAAGAAAGGUACUGGAAUAAUGCUAAUUUGACAUUAAAAUUUUUAAGUCAAGUUUUGGGGUCCAUGCUAAUUAAAUUGUGGGGUUUGCGCAAUUUGCCUGAUGAUCAAGUAUAGGUGGAAGGUUUAUCAUCAGUAUCCAAUUUCGAUAAUUUGGAAAUCAAAUUUCCCGUUAACGUGCUUUUGUUUUGUAGUUUUGAUUUUUAAAUAGGUUCAAGAACUUGAGGAGGUUAUGUGAGAGAUUUGAACUUCCAAUGUUCUAUUUGAGGGUAAGCCACCUGAGCAAUGAUUUGGCUGGAAAAUAUCAUUUUAACUGUUAUACUUGGGGAGGUCAGCAAAGUUUAUACCCAACUUUGGUGACAGAAAAGAAACUAUAAGUUCAAAAGAACUAGUUGUGCAAUCACUGAAGGAAUGAAAAGCGAGAAAACAAAUAUGUGAUCAUUUUACCGUUAUUACUUAGUAUGGAAUUCUAAACAAUAUAUGCAAUAUACAUUAUAGAAAAC